rnacentral:rRNA from 1 species
GAACUUAAGCCCCAGUAAACGGCGGCCGUAACUAUAACGGUCCUAAGGUAGCGAAAUUCCUUGUCGGGUAAGUUCCGACCCGCACGAAAGGCGUAACGAUUUGGGCACUGUCUCAACAACAGACUCGGUGAAAUUGUAAUCCCGGUGAAGAUGCCGGGUACCUGCGACAGGACGGAAAGACCCCAUGGAGCUUUACUGUAGCUUGACAUUGGGUUUCGAUACUACAUGUACAGGAUAGGUGGGAGACUAAGAAAUCAGGGCGUCAGUUUUGAUGGAGUCAUCCUUGGGAUACCACCCUUGUAGUAUUGGGACUCUAACCAUAGGCCAUGAAUCUGGUCUUGGGACACUGUCUGGUGGGCAGUUUGACUGGGGCGGUCGCCUCCCAAAAGGUAACGGAGGCGCUCAAAGGUUCCCUCAGUACGGUCGGAAAUCGUACGAAGAGUGUAAAGGCAAAAGGGAGCUUGAUUGCAAGACAUACAGGUCGAGCAAGGUAGAAAUACGGACUUAGUGAUCCGGUGGUUCUGAGUGGAAGGGCCAUCGCUCAACGGAUAAAAGCUACCCUGGGGAUAACAGGCUUAUCUCCCCCAAGAGUCCACAUCGACGGGGAGGUUUGGCACCUCGAUGUCGGCUCAUCACAUCCUGGGGCUGUAGUAGGUCCCAAGGGUUGGGCUGUUCGCCCAUUAAAGUGGUACGCGAGCUGGGUUCAGAACGUCGUGAGACAGUUCGGUCCCUAUCCGUCGCAGGCGUAGGAAAUUUGAGAAGAUCUGUCCUUAGUACGAGAGGACCGGGAUGGACAUACCUCUGGUGUACCAGUUGUUCUGCCAAGGGCAUGGCUGGGUAGCUAUGUAUGGAAGGGAUAAGCGCUGAAAGCAUCUAAGCGCGAAGCCAACUUCAAGAUAAGAUUUCCCACCGCAAGGUUAAGAUCCCAGGAAGACUACCUGGUUGAUAGGUCAGAGGUGUAAGUGCAGCAAUGUAUGUAGCUUACUGAUACUAAUAGAUCGAGGACUUGACCAA